rnacentral:lncRNA from 1 species
CCCCAUUCCAUGUCCCCAUCCCAAUGUCCCCAUCCCGAUGUCCCCAUUCCAUGUCCCCAUUCCAUGUCCCCAUUCCAUGUCCUUAUUCCCAUGUCCCCAUUCCAUGUCCCCAUUCCAUGUCCCCAUCCCGAUGUCCCCAUCCCAUGUCCCCAUUCCAUGUCCCCAUCCCGAUGUCCCCAUCACAUGUCCCCAUUCCAUGUCCCCAUUCCAUGUCCCCAUUCCAUGUCCCCAUUCCCAUGUCCCCAUCCCAAUGUCCCCAUCCCAAUGUCCCCAUUCCAUGUCCCCAUUCCAUGUCCCCAUUCCAUGUCCCCAUCCCGAUGUCCCCAUCCUGAUGUCCCCAUUCCCAUGUCCCCAUUCCAUGUCCCCAUCCUGGUGUCUCCAUUCCAUGUCCCCAUCCCAAUGUCCCCAUCCCGAUGUCCCCAUUCCAUGUCCUCAUUCCCAUGUCCCCAUCCCGAUGUCCCAAUCCCGAUGUCCCAAUCCCGAUGUCCCCAUUCCAUGUCCCCAUCCCGAUGUCCUCAUUCCCAUGUCCCCAUUCCAUGUCCCCAUUCCAUGUCCCCAUUCCAUGUCCCCAUCCCAUGUCCCCAUUCCAUGUCCCCAUCCCGAUGUCCCCAUCCCAUGUCCCCAUUCCAUGUCCCCAUCCCAAUGUCCCCAUUCCAUGUCCCCAUUCCAUGUCCCCAUUCCAUGUCCCCAUCCAGAUGUCCCCAUCCCAUGUCCCCAUUCCAUGUCCCCAUUCCAUGUCCCCAUUCCAUGUCCCCAUUCCAUGUCCCCAUCCCAAUGUCCCCAUUCCAUGUCCCCAUUCCAUGUCCCCAUUCCAUGUCCCCAUUCCAUGUCCCCAUCCCAAUGUCCCCAUUCCAUGUCCCCAUUCCAUGUCCCCAUUCCAUGUCCCCAUUCCAUGUCCCCAUCCCAAUGUCCCCAUUCCAUGUCCCCAUUCCAUGUCCCCAUUCCAUGUCCCCAUUCCAUGUCCCCAUCCCAAUGUCCCCAUUCCAUGUCCCCAUUCCAUGUCCCCAUCCCAAUGUCCCCAUCCUGGUGUCCCCAUUCCAUGUCCCCAUUCCAUGUCCCUGACCCCAGACGUGGACGAGUGCCAGGAGUACGGGGCCGGGCUCUGCGGGGCGCAGCGCUGCGAGAACAUUCCGGGCUCCUAUCGCUGCGUGCCCGAGUGCCAGCCGGGAUUCCGGCCCGGAGACGGCGGGGACUGCCUCGGUGAGGGACUGGGAUUUGGGAUUUGGGAUUUGGGAAUUGGGAUUUGGAUUGGGAUAUGGGAUUGAUCCUGAGUGCCAGCCGGGAUUCCGGCCCGGAGACGGCGGGGACUGCCUCGGUGAGGGACUGGGAUUGGGAUUUGGGAUUUGGAUUUGGGAUUUGGAUUAGGAUAUGGGAUUGAUCCUGAGUGCCAG